GGCUCAGGAUGAACGCUAGCUACAGGCUUACACAUGCAAGUCGAGGGGCAGCAUUGGGAUAGCUGCUAUUCAGAUGGCGACCGGCGCACGGGUGAGUAACGCGUAUCCAACCUUCCUGCCAGUAGGGAACAGCCCGGCGAAAGUCGGAUUAAUGCCCUAUGUUCUUCAAUGCGGACAUCUAAGUUGAAGGAAAGAUUCAUCGCUGGCAGAUGGGGAUGCGUCCUAUUAGCUUGCCGGCGGGGUAACGGCCCACCGGGGCGACGAUCGGUAGGGGUUCUGAGAGGAAGGUCCCCCACACUGGUACUGAGACACGGACCAGACUCCUACGGGAGGCAGCAGUGAGGAAUAUUGGUCAAUGGGCGUAAGCCUGAACCAGCCAAGUAGCGUGCAGGAAUGACGGCCCUACGGGUUGUAAACUGCUUUUAUGCGGGGAUAAAGUGCGGCACGUGUGCCGCUUUGCAGGUACCGCAUGAAUAAGGACCGGCUAAUUCCGUGCCAGCAGCCGC
rnacentral:rRNA from 1 species